rnacentral:lncRNA from 1 species
AUGAACACUCACCAGACCCAGGAGCCUCAACAUCGGUGCUGCCGUAGCAGUGGAUGCUCUUCAGUCCCUGGCUCUAGCUGUGGUGCCCCAAAUGUCAGCAUGGCGACACCUGUCAGAACUUGUUCCACGACAACCACCGAGGUGAACUUUCCACAUACCAUCGACAAUUCCUACUCCCAGCAGGAAGAGACCAAACCGAAUUUCAGAGACAGCAAAUACAGACUUCUUAUGAGCCAGGUGGCCUACUUCCGUAACUGCCAGCUGAAGACAUACAAAGAUCGAAAAGAUCACAAUGAAGAACAGAAAUACAGAGACAGCAAAAAUAAACUUAUUAUGAGUCAAGUGGCCUACUACUUGGGCUGCCGGCUGAAGACGGAAGUCCCUGGCUUUCUGUGUUCUGCCCGAAACGUCAACAUGGUGGCAUCUGACAGGCCUCCUUCCAGAAAAUACACAGAGGUCAACGUUGCAGAAAGCAUUGAGAAAUCCUGCCCCCAGCAGGAAGAAAUCAAACCGAAUGUCGGAGCCAGCAAAAAUGGACUUCUUAUGAGCCAGGUGGCCUACGUCCUGAACUGCCGGGAGAGGACAUACAAUGAUCAAGAAGAUCACGAUGAAGUACAGAAAUACAGAGACAGCCAAAAUAAACUUCUUAUGAGUCGGGCGGCCUCCGACCUGGGCUGCCGGCUAAAGACGGAAGGUGAGUUCUAUAGGUUCAUUAUCGCAGAAGUGCUGAAGAGCGUUCUGUGUUUUGUUUGAGAAACUGAAGACUCUCUUCAUCAGAAUUUAUUUCAUUAUCCC